rnacentral:rRNA from 1 species
UACAGAGGGGGCAAGCGUUGUUCGGAAUUACUGGGCGUAAAGGGCGCGUAGGCGGCCUGUUAAGUCGAACGUGAAAUCCCUGGGCUCAACCCAGGAACUGCGUCCGAUACUGGCAGGCUUGAAUUCGGGAGAGGGAUGAGGAAUUCCAGGUGUAGCGGUGAAAUGCGUAGAUAUCUGGAGGAACACCGGUGGCGAAGGCGGCAUCCUGGACCGAUAUUGACGCUGAGGCGCGAAAGCCAGGGGAGCAAACGGG